rnacentral:rRNA from 1 species
AACGAACGCUGGCGGCAGGCCUAACACAUGCAAGUCGAGCGAGGACUUCGGUUCUAGCGGCGGACGGGUGAGUAACGCGUGGGAAUGUGCCCUUCUCUACGGAAUAGCCCUGGGAAACUGGGAGUAAUACCGUAUACGCCCUAUUGGGGAAAGAUUUAUCGGAGAAGGAUCAGCCCGCGUUGGAUUAGGUAGUUGGUGGGGUAAUGGCCUACCAAGCCGACGAUCCAUAGCUGGUUUGAGAGGAUGAUCAGCCACACUGGGACUGAGACACGGCCCAGACUCCUACGGGAGGCAGCAGUGGGGAAUCUUAGACAAUGGAGGCAACCCUGAUCUAGCCAUGCCGCGUGAGUGAUGAAGGCCUUAGGGUUGUAAAGCUCUUUCAGCUGGGAAGAUAAUGACGGUACCAGCAGAAGAAGCCCCGGCUAACUCCGUG